GAUCCGCUGUGUGGAAGGCCCAAGAAGGGUCGGGGGUGCGUGGCGGAAAGUGAGCGUGUGUGUACAGUGCAGGGCGUCUGAGGUGGUGGUGGGGCGGAAGGCAGGCAACUCAUACUUACCUGGCAGGGGAGAUACCAUGAUCACGAAGGUGGUUUUCCCAGGGCGAGGCUUAUCCAUUGCACUCCGGAUGUGCUGACCCCUGCGAUUUCCCCAAAUGUGGGAAACUCGACUGCAUAAUUUGUGGUAGUGGGGGACUGCGUUCGCGCUUUCCCCUGGCUUAUUUUUAGUAGAAGAGUAGACUCCUGGAGUGCGUCUGGCCGCCCGGUCAUGUUGCUGUAAUGUGUUGGGUCCGUUUGUUUUAAGCCUCCUGUAUGUACAGGAUGAGGCCGUGAAGCAUACAAAAGCGCCUUAAGGGCAUAGGUGGUGGGUAAGUUUGAAUCUCGCUACGACCCGCGAGCUUGCGGCUGGAGAACUGCCAGUCAGUCUCCGAGUUCACCUAGGUUGCGGCACGACUGUGAAGAGUGGUUCAGAAAGAUGUGAGCGGCCCCAAUCGCGCUUGAAAGCCAGCUCGCUCGUUGAACGCUCUUUCGGCCUCUUGAAAAGUUUGUGCGUGUGAGGGAAGGCUUCUUCGUGCGCAGGAUCCCAGCGGAGAAACCCUUACCUGAGCCAAACACACGAAGUCGGUUGAGGUGUCGGGAGGCGCCCCGUGACGAACUGCUCGUCGGCCUGUCUUGUGGGAGUCUGCCACUAGCUAUUUUCCCAGCAGUGUCCUGCUUUCAGAGGCUUCAUUUCUUGCGUGGUCAGCUGCCUUGCUUAUUUAUACGUGGCCUUAGUC